rnacentral:rRNA from 1 species
GAUGAACGCUAGCGGCAGGCUUAACACAUGCAAGUCGAGGGGUAUAGUUCUUCGGAGCUAGAGACCGGCGCACGGGUGCGUAACGCGUAUGCAAUCUACCUUUUGCAGAGGGAUAGCCCAGAGAAAUUUGGAUUAAUACCUCAUAGUAUGUGAGAAUGGCAUCAUUUUCACAUUAAAGUCACAACGGCAAAAGAUGAGCAUGCGUCCCAUUAGCUUGUUGGUAAGGUAACGGCUUACCAAGGCAACGAUGGGUAGGGGUCCUGAGAGGGAGGUCCCCCACACUGGUACUGAGACACGGACCAGACUCCUACGGGAGGCAGCAGUGAGGAAUAUUGGACAAUGGGCGCAAGCCUGAUCCAGCCAUGCCGCGUGCAGGAUGACGGUCCUAUGGAUUGUAAACUGCUUUUGUACAGGAAGAAACACUGGUUCGUGAACCAGCUUGACGGUACUGUAAGAAUAGGGAUCGGCUAACUCCGUGCCAGCCGCCGCAGUAAAAC